rnacentral:rRNA from 1 species
UACUAUGUUACGACUUAUCUCACUUUAUAAUUCAACGAGAGUGACGGGCGAUGUGUGCACAUUUUAGAGCUCAAAUCAUAUCUACAAUCUACAAAAAAUUACUAUUAAAUCCACCUUCAUACAAAUAUAUCAACCCAAUAAUACGUCUACCUUAAAGUAUUGUAAUCCAUCUCCCCUUAAUUAUAAGCUGCACCUUGACCUGAAAUAAGAUAAAAAUAGAUUAGAAGAACAUAACUUCUAAAAAAAUAUUCAAUAAACGGCGGUAUACAUACCUUAUAAACCAAGUAAGGUUCAACGUGGACUAUCGAUUAUGGAACAGAUUCCUCUAAAUAGACUAAAAUGCCGCCAAAUUCUUUAAGUUUCAAGACCUUAACAAUUACUACUCAGGUCACAAAUUUACAUUUAAAAUAAUAGGGUAUCUAAUCCUAGUUU